CCUACGGGCGGCUGCAGUGGGGAAUAUUGGACAAUGGGCGCAAGCCUGAUCCAGCAAUGCCGCGUGUGUGAAGAAGGCCUGCGGGUUGUAAAGCACUUUCAGUGGGGAAGAACGGGUCCGGGCCAAUACCCCGGAUCACUGACGUUACCCACAGAAGAAGCACCGGCUAACUCCGUGCCAGCAGCCGCGGUAAUACGGAGGGUGCAAGCGUUAAUCGGAAUCACUGGGCGUAAAGCGCACGUAGGCGGCCCGUUAAGUCAGAUGUGAAACCCCUGGGCUCAACCUGGGAAUGGCAUUUGAUACUAGCGCGCUCGAGUCUGAUAGAGGGGGGUGGAAUUCCAGGUGUAGCGGUGAAAUGCGUAGAUAUCUGGAGGAACACCGGUGGCGAAGGCGGCCCCCUGGAUCAUGACUGACGCUGAGGUGCGAAAGCGUGGGUAGCAAACAGGCUUAGAUACCCCUGUAGUC
rnacentral:rRNA from 1 species